rnacentral:misc_RNA from 1 species
GAAAUGCGAUACGUAGUGUGAAUUGCAGAUAAUGUGAACCAUCGAAUCUUUGAACGCAAAUUGCGCCCGAGGCUUCGGCCAAAGGCAUGUCUGCCUCAGCGUCGGCUUCACCCCUCCUCUCCCUUUGUCUUUUUGGCAAAGGCGCAGAGGGACCUGGUCGUCUCGGCGUCGCCGCCGGGUCGGCCGAAGCACAGAGGCUCGAGCGGGACCCAAUGCAUGGGCAACAGUCUGGUAGGCGACUCGUUCGCAUGCCGCUGGUGCCCCGGGACCCGGGCGAGCCCGCAGGAAGUGUGGUCGCCCACACAACUCUUUUAACUUUCGACCUGAGUUCAGGCAAGAGCACCCGCUGAACUUAA